rnacentral:rRNA from 1 species
UACGGAGGGUGCAAACGUUGCUCGGAAUCAUUGGGCGUAAAGCGCACGUAGGCGGCCUGAUAAGUCGGGUGUGAAAGCCCUGGGCUCAACCCAGGAAGUGCACUCGAAACUGUCAGGCUUGAAUAUGGAAGAGGGUCGCGGAAUUCCCGGUGUAGAGGUGAAAUUCGUAGAUAUCGGGAGGAACACCAGUGGCGAAGGCGGCGACCUGGGCCAAUAUUGAUGCUGAGGUG